AGCGAACGCUGGCGGCAGGCCUAACACAUGCAAGUCGAACGAACUCUUCGGAGUUAGUGGCGGACGGGUGAGUAACGCGUGGGAACGUGCCCCUUGGUACGGAAUAGCCCCGGGAAACUGGGAGUAAUACCGUAUGAGCUCUACGGAGGAAAGAUUAUCGCCAAGGGAUCGGCCCGCGUUGGAUUAGGUAGUUGGUGGGGUAAUGGCCUACCAAGCCGACGAUCCAUAGCUGGUUUGAGAGGAUGAUCAGCCACACUGGGACUGAGACACGGCCCAGACUCCUACGGGAGGCAGCAGUGGGGAAUCUUAGACAAUGGGCGCAAGCCUGAUCUAGCCAUGCCGCGUGAGCGAUGAAGGCCUUAGGGUUGUAAAGCUCUUUCAGCUGGGAAGAUAAUGACUGUACCAGCAGAAGAAGCCCCGGCUAACUCCGUGCCAGCCGCCGCCGUAA
rnacentral:rRNA from 1 species